GGUUACUGCUAUCGGUGUUCGUCUAAGCCAUGCGAGUCAUAUGUAGCAAUACAUGGCGUACUGCUCAGUAACACGUGGAUAACCUGCCCUUGGGUCCGGCAUAACCCCGGGAAACUGGGGAUAAUUCCGGAUAACGCACAUAUGCUGGAAUGCUUUAUACGUGAAAUGGAUUCGUCUGCCCAAGGAUGGGUCUGCGGCCUAUCAGGUAGUAGUGGGUGUAAUGUACCUACUAGCCUACGACGGGUACGGGUUGUGAGAGCAAGAGCCCGGAGAUGGAUUCUGAGACAUGAAUCCAGGCCCUACGGGGCGCAGCAGGCGCGAAAACUUUACAAUGCGGGAAACCGUGAUAAGGGGACACCGAGUGCCAGCAUCCUAUGCUGGCUGUCCAGGUGUGUAAACUACACCUGUUAGCAAGGGCCGGGCAAGACCGGUGCCAGCCGCCGCGGUAACACCGGCGGCCCGAGUGGUGAUCGUGAUUAUUGGGUCUAAAGGGUCCGUAGCCGGUUUGGUCAGUCCUCCGGGAAAUCUGACAGCUUAACUGUUAGGCUUUCGGAGGAUACCGCCAGACUUGGAACCGGGAGAGGUAAGAGGUACUACAGGGGUAGGAGUGAAAUCUUGUAAUCCCUGUGGGACCACCUGUGGCGAAGGCGUCUUACCAGAACGGGUUCGACGGUGAGGGACGAAAGCUGGGGGCACGAACCGGAUUAGAUACCCGGGUAGUCCCAGCCGUAAACGAUGCUCGCUAGGUGUCAGGCAUGGCGCGACCGUGUCUGGUGCCGCAGGGAAGCCGUGAAGCGAGCCACCUGGGAAGUACGGCCGCAAGGCUGAAACUUAA
rnacentral:rRNA from 1 species